UGCAUUUUAAUCUGGGACAGCGGGUGGAAAAUGGCAUCUGGUUAAUCAGAUGUUUCUAGAUUAUUUGAUGAUAUAACUUAACUCUGUUGAUGAUGAAAUGAAAAACUGCAUGUCUUCCCUAGAGCAGCAUUAUAAAGCAUUCUGCUUGGUACUUAAAAUUGAUUGUGCAUUAUAUUGGUUAAAGAGUGACAUUUUGAAAAUAAAAUUAAGGCUGGUUUGCAUUUGGUUGAAAAAGUUGUGCAUCUAUUUAAUACGAAUAUUAUUUUUCUUCUAGAACACAUUUGUAGUUUGCAUUUAAAAUAACUCAAUGUUUUUACUCAAUAUUGUUUUAAAAAUAAGAUGAAUAUGGAUAUAAUCAUUCACAAGGAAAAUAACUCUUAUGAGUGAGAUUGGUUGCUAUAUAUUUCCUUGGAAAAAUAAAAUGCAAUAUAUAUUUUAUUAAUGAUAGCAUAAGCAAUACCAUAGUAAAAAUACCAAAGUGGUUUAAUUUUUUUAAUUGAAAGUCUUUAUAAAGCAGUAGGAAGCAUUAUAUAUUAUUUCCUUUUACAUCUAGAGUUACAUUUAGAGAUGCUAUCGGAAUCCUGGAUCAAUAUCUGUUUAUUAUGAUUUAAGCUCCAUGACUUUGUUGCAUUAUGUUUAAUUUGUGUGUAUUUCCUUGAUUCACAACCUACAGUAAAUUCUUAUUACUUAGAUCUGGGCAAAAUGUCUUUAAAAUUAUCCAUAACUUCCAGGUAGUAGAAAAAAAUGAAUUUCAUAUUGAUGGUAAAGGAAAACAAACUGCUACCCAUGUGUGAUGCACAUAGAUUUAUUAUCUAAAUAAGUCUUGAAUUCCUCCUUCAAAUAUGAUUGGGAGUUAUAUUCUUUCUAGAAAAUUUCAUUUUCCAAGGGCGCAUUUGCAAAGAUAUCAGAGCAGCAAUUAAAAUAGCAAAUAGUCCAGCAAUUAUAACAGAGA
rnacentral:lncRNA from 1 species